rnacentral:lncRNA from 1 species
UUAGAAAAGCAAUUUUUUGCUACAUGACAAAGAAAUUAAUUUCUAAGUAAGUUAGGGGUCUAAACCCUUAGACACAAACAGGUUGUGUGGUGUCUUACUAGUAAUUUAACCCAACAGUAAAUGAAAAAUCACCUUUAUCUGAUUUGCGAACAGAAAAGCAAGACAAAUGAAACCUUAAAAAUCAAAUUCAUGGCUCAGCUGUUAAAAAAGGGGAAUUUAGGAACUGACUUCUGAGUAUUUAUUUACACAGAAAAAAAAAUUUGUAAUGCUGAUUCUGAUAAUGCUCCAUGCAGCUUUCUUUAAAAGCUUCAAGCUAUAUAAUUUCUCAUAUUCUUUCCCUGCCCUUAAAUCAGAUGCUUGUAACUGGCUACUCUUUAGCCUGUGAAGGAGAUAAUCUCCAUAUCAACUGCUAAAAUUAUAAAAGGAUUUAUUGAUUUCUAUCAUGAGUUCUUGUCCUGUUACUUCUGAGAAUGUCUUCAAAGCUGCCAUGACUACAAACUUGAAGAGCACCUGGAAACACUGUUUCUGUUGAUAGAAGAUACUAUGUCCCCUUUGCUGAAGCUUACCACAAAAUUCACUUAGGCUGAGACUGGGUUGAGUACUGAUCCAAAUAAGUUAGCAGAUAAUAAAUAGUAAGAGGAUCAGGAUAGCUCCAUAUCCUUUGUGAUUCAUUGCUUCCAUCAUUUUCUUAAGUUGUUUCUACUCAUAUAUUUUUUUACAUCCCACA